CAGGGAAUAUUGCACAAUGGGCGCAAGCCUGAUGCAGCGACGCCGCGUGAGGGAUGACGGCCUUCGGGUUGUAAACCUCUUUCAGGAGGGACGAAGCGAAAGUGACGGUACCUCCAGAAGAAGCCCCGGCCAACUACGUGCCAGCAGCCGCGGUAAUACGUAGGGGGCGAGCGUUGUCCGGAUUCAUUGGGCGUAAAGAGCUCGUAGGCGGCUCAGCAAGUCGGCCGUGAAAGCCCGAGGCUCAACCUCGGGAGGCCGGUCGAAACUGCUGUGGCUAGGGUCCGGUAGAGGAGAGUGGAAUUCCCGGUGUAGCGGUGAAAUGCGCAGAUAUCGGGAGGAACACCAGUAGCGAAGGCGGCUCUCUGGGCCGGUACCGACGCUGAGGAGCGAAAGCUAGGGGAGCAAACAGGAUUAGAUACCCCCGUAGUCC
rnacentral:rRNA from 1 species